GAGCAAUUGCUCUACAAGCUCGUCGAUUUAUUCAGUUUCCAGAUCCACAAGAGUGCACAACAAUUCAAUCAAAAUUCCAGUCCGUUGCCGGAAUUCCAAAUGUAAUCCGUUUGAUCGAUGGUACCCACAUACGGAUUCAAAGGCCAAAGGACCAUGAAGGAGAUUUCAUCAACAGGAAAGGCUAUUAUUCUUUGAAUGUGCAAUUAGAUGGUAUGUGGCCAGAACAAAAAAGAGCGGAGCUUAACUGCUAAAUGGCCAGGAAGCACACAUGACACUAGAAUAUGGAGAGUGUCAUCUACGUAAUCAGUUUGAACAAGG